rnacentral:ribozyme from 1 species
ACUCGUCUGGGCGAGUAUAAAUAGUAAUUAGGCCCAGAGCGUCCUGGCACGAUCGGCCGGGGGUUUAG